GAUGAACGCUAGCUACAGGCUUAACACAUGCAAGUCGAGGGGUAACGAGAGGAAAGCUUGCUUUCCUUGUCGACGACCGGCGCACGGGUGAGUAACGCGUAUCCAACCUGCCCCCAACUAGGGAAUAACCUUGCGAAAGUAAGACUAAUACCCUAUAAUUUCCUCAGAUGUCAUCUGACGAGGAAUAAAGAUUUAUCGGUUGUGGAUGGGGAUGCGUCUGAUUAGCUUGUUGGCGGGGUAACGGCCCACCAAGGCAACGAUCAGUAGGGGUUCUGGAAGGAAGGUCCCCCACAUUGGAACUGAGACACGGUCCAAACUCCUACGGGAGGCAGCAGUGAGGAAUAUUGGUCAAUGGGCGGAAGCUUGAACCAGCCAAGUAGCGUGCAGGAUGACGGCCCUAUGGGUUGUAAACUGCUUUUAUACAGGAAUAAAGUUAGCCACGUGUGGUUAUUUGUAGGUACUGUAUGAAUAAGGACCGGCUAAUUCCGUGCCAGCCGCCGCGGUAA
rnacentral:rRNA from 1 species